CCAAUAGCGUAUAUUAAAGUUGUUGCAGUUAAAAAGCUCGUAGUUGAAUUUCGGGAUCAAUAUAUCGGUCGUGCCAUCGGUACGUACUGGUAUCAUUGGUUUCUCCUUUCUGACGAACCAUGAUGUCAUUAAUUUGGUGUCAUGGGAAGUUAGGACUGUUACUUUGAAAAAAUUAGAGUGUUUAAAGCAGGCUUUAGCUUGAAUACAUUAGCAUGGAAUAAUGAAAUAGGACGUUCGAACCUAUUUUGUUGGUUUCUAGGAUCAACGUAAUGAUUAAUAGGGAUAGUUGGGGGCAUUAGUAUUCAAUUGUCAGAGGUGAAAUUCUUGGAUUUAUUGAAGACUAACUACUGCGAAAGCAUUUGCCAAGGAUGUUUUCAUUAAUCAAGAACGAAAGUUAGGGGAUCGAAGACGAUCAGAUACCGUCGUAGUCUUAACCAUAAACUAUGCCGACUAGGGAUCGGAUGAUGUUAAUUUUUUAAUGACUCAUUCGGCGCCUUACG
rnacentral:rRNA from 1 species